UGACCGACUCCGGAGCUAUUUCUGCUGUCAAGAUUUGCUCCGAUGGAAUAUGGGUAUAAAUAUCCCUCCGACCUGAGACCGCCACGGUGACUUGCAAGCAACUCACUGCACUUAGGCACUGGACUAUCUGAAUUUUUAAUUCAGUGACGGAAGGCUGCUGGGUGUAGUCAAGUACUUGACUUAUCGAUGCGUGUAUCAAAAUCGGAUUGACCACUCCAGUUUAGGAGCUGUGUACAGUCGUGUUUCAAUUUAGCAAAACCUUGGCAAGGGUAGUCCUUG
rnacentral:lncRNA from 1 species